AUGUGUGUACCGAAAGAAAAAGGUGGAAUGGGGUUUAGAGAUAUCCAUGCUUUUAAUCGAGCACUUCUUGCAAAACAAUGCUGGAGGUUGGUUGAAAACUAUGACUCGCUAUGUGCAAGAGUGUUGCGUGCUCGCUACUAUCCCACGGGCGAUAUUCUAAACUGCACUUUGAAGAAGGGUUCUUCUUUUGUAUGGCAGAGCAUAUAUGCAGGCAUACAAACCUUCAAGAAAGGAAGUAUUUGGAGAGUUGGGGACGGCACAAAGAUUGAUAUCUAG
rnacentral:rRNA from 1 species